CCUCGUUUGCGAAUUCAUCGACUAUCUCGAGUAUAGUGGUGCCCAAGGCGUGGUUCUGAAGGUAUCCUGCGUCACCGGUAACUUCAUCUUCUACGUGUACCAAAUGGUUGACUUCAUUGUUCUAAGACCGUGCCUAGAAGUGCUGCUGUUGUACAUUCGGCAGCAGCACGAGGUUGUUCGCUGCAUGAUCGACGGCGGCGGCAGCUUGGUUUUCGUCGACCGAGCUAUGAAAGUCGAAGAGGUUAGGAUGAACCUUUGUGCUAUCGCGCUGCUCAAGACGCAGCUGAACGGCAUUUGGCGGUGGUCCAUUAUGGUCUCCGGUGGAGCCGCCCUCUUAUUUGCCUGCAUCUGCACAUAUUCGGCUUUCGUAGAGGGGCUUUCAACGCUUCAGUCUAUAAUGGGCGUACUCUAUAGUGCUUUGUUGGUCUUGGACAUUCUGGACAUUGCCGGAUUGAGUCAAGAAAUGGUCAACGAAUUGCGAAGCAUGCGACAAACUCUUCAGAGCGCUCCAACCGGCCAGGAAAACGGGGCAUAUUUUGCUCAGAUAAGCUAUCUACGAGAUACCAUAAAGCCUAACGAGAUGGCUGUGUCUGGAGCUGGCUUCUUUUCGUUAAAUCUGCCAUUGGUUGUUUCG